AAAAACAUCAAUUAGCUAAACCCUAAUUCCAAUUCAAACCCACUUCCCCUCAUUUUUCUGUUUUCCCUUCUUCAAAUGCCGCACAACUCAUCAGUUUUCCAUUUUUCCUUCAUUAGUCUUCCAUUCUCUUUCUCUUGUGCAGAUCCCAAUCCAUCCUCUCUUUCUUUCAUUGUUAGUAAUCUUUUGUUGUCUAAUACUCCUUUGCUACUCCGGGAGGACCGAAAGAAAGGUUUGUCACAGAGAAGAUAAUACUCGUUUUAUUUGGUUUGAUCGAAGUUCUUUUUCUAUCUUGAAUUGUUUUGCAGGUACACUUCACUGGAUUUUGAAUAAUUUAGAGUGGAAGAGAAAUUCAUGAAUAGAUUGGAAUAGAAAUAUUAUUUGAUUGGUUGUGAGAAAGAGAUUCUCAAGAACUUCCAAUUUUAGAGACUCGUGUGCUGCUCCAACAUAAGAAGAUGGACUCAGAGAUCUGGUCUUCAAAGCUUGAGACUGAAAGAAAUGAGAAGAUUGAAGGAAGAAAAUGUUUUUUCUUGUAAAUUUAAAAAAAAACCUAUUGUUCUGAGAUCCGGAAAGAUAAAGAUGAAACAUGUUGGGUUGAAUAUUUUGAAUGAUUCAAAACCAAUAACUGACAUUUGGGGGGAUUAAUGCAUUAAUUAUCAUGUGGAUUUUUUUUUUAUAUAAAUGAAAGUAUUAGGAUCGGAUGUAUUUAUUUG